GGCUGAGGAAGGGGCUUACGGGCGGGGGACGCUUAAAGCGGCCGCUUUGUGCCUGAGGCGCGCGGUCCCGCUCGGCUCCUCAGCGUGGAUGAGGAGCAAACCGUCCCUCUCCGCGGUGGUGAAGUUUUUUAAGAGGUAAUCGUUCUGUUAUGAAUGAGAUCGCUGCAUUAUUUCACUGCUUUAAGCAUAACAUUUCGCUUUGCCCUCCGCGGGCGCAAGGUGUUGAAAAUCCGUUAAUUACUGAUAAUAAAUUCCCCCCUAUGAAGACCCAAUCAAAAUGAACAUGCCCGUAUGCGGUCACAGAGCAACACUUACCUGGAGAGCCUGAGGGCAAAGCAGGACUCACACAGAGAAGGGAAUGCACACCAGAAGAGCUUGUAAAAGGCAAAUAUACCUCAAGAGCAAACCAAAGUUAAUUUCAGUUAGAAAUAAAUGUAAAAAGUACAAAAACUGCAGGAAGCGAUAAACGUAGGCAAGAGACGGGUAGGGUUGAAUUCUGUAUGUCAGGGCGCGGGCUGGGCUUGCUGUCCUGGCCUGAACACACUUUGUCCUGCAGUUUUCGGAUAGCAAUUCUGUACAGUUCAUUUUAAAAGCCGUUUCAGGUUGGCACUGAUCCGUCACGGCGAGCAAAAUAGCGGUGAAGACUCGUUAUUUUGGGAAGAAAGGAAAUAUUUCCUGCAGAGGUUCAUUGCAGAAGAGCGAUAUGAGGUAGCACGCGUGAUUUACUGCUUUCACUAUAAGAGCUAAAUGAAUCUCCUCCUUUCCCAGCUCUUGAAUACAGAGUUAUGCUGGCAGAGUGGAUUACAUCUGAUCUAUGUACCAUGACAAGUACUGAAAAUUGUGGGCUUCAUUGCUGUAUUCACCCACUCCUUCCUGAAGAUAGGAAGAAAGUGUCAAUACAGAGAGCAGCCUUUGCUCCAUUCCGUCAGUGUAAGAAAGCACAAAGCUGCUCUGAAGAUCUAAUGAGUAUACAGUCUGACACCAUAGAAACCAAGCUUGAUCCCAGUUCUCCCAGUACCUGCACAAUCUCUUCUGUAUAUCACAUCCAACAUCCACCUGUCUUCUGGCCUUGUGCGUAAUAGGAACAGGCAUCACGCUAUACCAGUUCCUUCCGCUUGUGUACUUCACCCUGCAUUACUCUUACCUAGCAAGAACUGCUGCUGGCUAAUUCUGAAAUACAGCAAGGCACUUUGAUGGAUGUUAAAGACUUUGUGUGUGCGCAGGCAGGAUGCAAAUCCACCCCCUCCUCACAACAGCUUGCCUUUAGGGCAAACACAGACCUCAGCUAUCUCCUAAGGAAAGAUGACCACAGCACAGCAAGUCAUCUGGCCUGAAAAGAACAGCAACGUGGAGGGAACAGAUCAGCUUCCUCAGAGUUUCAGAUUGGUUACAAAAGUCCACAUUUUACUUCAGUGCUUUACAGAACUACUACUUCCUCCCUGGGGAAAGAAAAAAUUGCUAGUCAUGUUGUGUGUGUUAAAGUACGUGAAGUCAAAUCAGCAGUAAUGUCUGUAGAAACACAGCAGAGAAAUAACAGUAAUAAAAAUCCCAAAGCAACAUAAAC
rnacentral:lncRNA from 1 species